AGCAGCCGCGGUAAUUCCAGCUCCAAUAGCGUAUAUUAAAGUUGCUGCAGUUAAAAAGCUCGUAGUUGAAUUUCGGGACUAAUAUGUCGGUCGUGCCUCGGUACGUACUGGUAUUUUUGGUUUCUCCCUUCUGACGAACCGCGAUGUCAUUAAUUUGGUGUCGUGGGGAAUCAGGACUGUUACUUUGAAAAAUUGAGUGUUUAAAGCAGGCUUUAGCUUGAAUACAUUAGCAUGGAAUAAUGAAAUAGGACGUUCGAACCUAUUUUGUUGGUUUCUAGGAUCAACGUAAUGAUUAAUAGGGAUAGUUGGGGGCAUUAGUAUUCAAUUGUCAGAGGUGAAAUUCUUGGAUUUAUUGAGGACUAACUACUGCGAAAGCAUUUGCCAAGGAUGUUUUCAUUAAUCAAGAACGAAAGUUAGGGAU
rnacentral:rRNA from 1 species